GGAACAGGUAUUGCAACAUUAGAGAUGCUGUCAACUUAGGAUUCACAUGUACAGCAAACAUGCACUUGCAUAGAAGAUUCUUGAACACAUAGAAACAAGCAUGAUAAGAUUCAAUUUGAGCAUGACAGAAAAUAACACAGUGAAGGUCAGAUGAAUUUGCAAUCAGUUUCCCCAUAAGAGCAGAAUAUAAAGCAGAAGCCUGAAUUAAUUUUAAGCUAAACUAUCAUGUUAUCAAAAAAGGGUGAAGAAACUAACCACUCCAUUUGAGAUGAGGAAGAGGGAAAAGAAAAAA